GACGUAGGUGGCGAACGCUAUCCGGAAUUAUUGGGCGUAAAGGGUGCGUAGGUGGCCUGACAAGUUAUCAGUGGCAAAUCGAGGCUCAACCUCGUGGAAACUGGUAAUACUGUCCGGCUUGAGUGCAGGAGAGGUUAACGGAACUCUAUGUGGAGGGGUAAAAUCCAUAGAUAUAUAGAUGAACAUCAAUAAAGGCGAAGGCAGUUAACUAUUCUGUUACUGACACUGAGGCACGAAAGCGUGGGGAGCAAAACGG
rnacentral:rRNA from 1 species